GGCGCGAUGGCAGAGUGGUCUAAUGCGAUAGACUAGAAAUCUAUUUCCUUCGGGAGCGCAGGUAAGGCACACUUCGUCUUGGACUCAACCUGCAGGUCAAGAACCAAACAGCUAACCCAACAAAAGGUUCAAAUCCUGCUCGCGUCG